GCAUGGUUUUGAUUUGAAAGGCGCUUUCGGGUGUCGCUGAUGGAUGGACCCGCGGUGCAUUACCUACCUGCGGAGGGAACGCGUCACCAUUGCCACAAUGCCUAACCGACCUGAGAGGGCGAUCGAUCACGUUGGGACUGAGACACGGACCUAACUCCUACUGUAGGCACCCGAACGGAAUCUUCCCCUGUGCACCAUGGUCUGACCGACCCACGCCGCAAGAUCGAUCAAUGUAUUCGGAUCGUGAUACUCUGAUGUGAGAAAGGAACUCGGAUGACAUCAACUGUUCCUCCCUUGACCGCAUCUAACCAGAAAGCCACGGCUAACUACGUGCCAUCAACCUUGGGAAUACGCUCGCGGCGAGCGUUGUCCGGAGUUAUUGGUCGUAAACUGAGCGCAGGCGGCCUCUUAAGUCUGAUGUGAAAUCCCCCGGCUCAACCGACUAAGGGUCAUUGGAAACUGGUAUACUUGACUGCAUAACAAGACACUGCAAUUCCAUGUGACGAGAUGAAAUGCGUAGAUAUAUGG
rnacentral:rRNA from 1 species